rnacentral:rRNA from 1 species
AUUGAACGCCGGCGGCAUGCUUUACACAUGCAAGUCGAACGGCAGCGCGGGGCAACCUGGCGGCGAGUGGCGAACGGGUGAGUAAUACAUCGGAACGUACCCAGAAGUGGGGGAUAACGUAGCGAAAGUUACGCUAAUACCGCAUACGUUCUACGGAAGAAAGUGGGGGACCUUCGGGCCUCAUGCUUUUGGAGCGGCCGAUGUCUGAUUAGCUAGUUGGUGAGGUAAAGGCUCACCAAGGCGACGAUCAGUAGCUGGUCUGAGAGGACGACCAGCCACACUGGGACUGAGACACGGCCCAGACUCCUACGGGAGGCAGCAGUGGGGAAUUUUGGACAAUGGGCGCAAGCCUGAUCCAGCAAUGCCGCGUGAGUGAAGAAGGCCUUCGGGUUGUAAAGCUCUUUUGUCAGGGAAGAAACGGCUGAGGAUAAUACCUUCGGCUAAUGACGGUACCUGAAGAAUAAGCACCGGCUAACUACGUG